CAAGGGGAACCUGGUGUUCAACCCGGGUCAGUGCGCCCGUCCGUAAGCUUCCUAAUGGAGGUGAGCGCGGUCAGUCCGGCGAGUGCCUCAGCGAGCACUGCGAGGAGCACGUGCUUCACUUCACGCACGUGUUUGGUGAGCAGGCACUGAUGAGAGCGGCCACCACCUGACCGACAUCAGCGGGACGUCCGGCCAGCUGUCGUGCUUUCCUGCGUGUGCGCAUGCGCGGCCGUCGUCCCUAGUCAACGUGAAAUAAAGCAUCCAUGUCAACAAGCCCUUCGCAUGAGUGACCGCAAUCUGCUUCCCGUUCCCAAAGCGGGAUCUGCAAAAAACGUGGACAGCAAGAGGCAUUUUCAAACUUUAUUUUUGUACUUUCAUUGACGACUUUGUCCACUUGUUGAGUGUGUGUUCACAGUCAAGUGCUGGUGCGAUUGAUUGAUUGACAGUCGACAUGAACUCAAGAAAUCAUCAUUUGCAUCUCAGGAAGCAAAACAAAAACAGUUUGAGAAGAACCCUGAGCGCAACAUCAUCUUUUAUUUAUGACGUGUGUGUGUGUGUGU